rnacentral:rRNA from 1 species
UACGUAGGGGGCUAGCGUUGUCCGGAAUCAUUGGGCGUAAAGAGCGUGUAGGCGGCCCGGUAAGUCCGCUGUGAAAGUCGGGGGCUCAACCCUCGAAUGCCGGUGGAUACUGUCGGGCUAGAGUGCGGAAGAGGCGAGUGGAAUUCCUGGUGUAGCGGUGAAAUGCGCAGAUAUCAGGAGGAACACCGAUUGCGAAGGCAGCUCGCUGGGACGUAACUGACGCUGAGACGCGAAAGCUAGGGGAGGCGAACGGG